GCGGAGUGCUUGGUGUCGCAGUCGGAACUAUGAUGUGCUUUCUUCUGGCACCAUCAGGGCACCUUCCCAGAGCUCUUCAAGAAAUGCAAGGAGGGCCAGGCUGUCUGAGACACUGACAAAACCUCCUUUAUGGGAUCAGAGGAGAUGGAGCAUCUGGUGUUUGACAAAACACUGGUUCACGUGAUGAAGUCACAUGGACUUUUGGAAAAGAACCCACUGUAUUGCAGGUGUCCGAUGCCUGCCACAGCACAUGAGUCAGCAGGGAUGAACACUCUGAGAGAGUUCUGAAGCACAGAGGUUGGUGUGAGUUUAGAAAGAAAACGCCUGAUCCUCCCCACUCAUGGGAAUUCCUACUGUGGUCUCAGCCAGGUAGCAUCUAUACCAUUUAAUAGAUUUAUAACAGCAGUUCUAUAUCAGAAACAGCAAGCUGGUCUUUGGUCACUGAGAUUCAUGAGGUCUCAGCUCAGUGUCACUGGAUAUCUGUGCACCAAAAUGGGGCAUAAAGCAUCUGCCUAAAGCAUUGGCACUGCCACCAGAAGCUAUGAAGGUAGAGCCAAGAUUACUGGACACCAACUAGAACAAAAGAACACCAUGAGAAAACAGGGUACUCUACUCGGCGGGGGCUGCCAUGACAAAGUACUCGACUGGGCAGCUGAAACAGCAGAAACAUAUGUCUCCCGCAGAUCUGGAGGCUGGGAGUAUGAGAUCAAGGCACUGGCCUGAACCCCCGGCAGACACCGCACCCUGCACCCGCCACAGAACAGCGACUGAGUGUCCAGUCCAGUGGCUCAUGAGGUGUGGAAGGAGGAAGAAACAUGGACUCUGCUCCGUGAUAAAUGAGUCUGCCCCGGGAGCACAACACACCCCCUCCAUGGCCUCAUUAAUCACCCGCUCCACUGGGCAGACAGACUGGCAGUGCUGGAAUUUGAUCCCCAUUUCACAGAUGGGGGGCCAAGGCAGCAGGAGGUUAAGUGAAUUCUAGAGACCACACAGCAAGAGCAUGGGGGAGCCCAGCCUGGCCACUGCCCCAAGGCCCCAAAGUCCCCAUAGGACCCCUCAUGAAGAAGCAGGGGCUGGCAGGAGGGUCCCAGUGGAGGAGCACUGGACUUGGGUGGGGCUGCAGCAGGAUCCCCGAAGGCCUGGCUUCACAUACCUCUCGGCUUGGGGCUUCUACCAAGACACUUCUCAAGUGCCCCUUUCCCUGCCUUUAAAAGAGCUGCAAUAAUAGUCACCCUUGAUUUGAGAUCCAUUUAUUAAUAGAAUUUCCAUAUGGAGAGUCUCCAGCACACUCUGGACAUUCGGGAAUGCCGACUCUUUGACCCUGUGCCUUGCCCACAGUAGACACCUAUUACCUCCUCUUAUUCCUGGACUAAGAAAUUGUGUGUCCCCCAUGAACCCAGGAGGCCUGGGGAGGAUAGGCAGGGCCAGUCUAGGCUGUCUACGGCUCUGAGGGAGCCUACAGGGUUUCAGCCAUAUCCAUUUCUGACACUGAGAAAUCACUGUGAUUAUAAACAUCACCUUCCCCCAAAGUCCCCACAAAUCCCUGCUACUUACAUGCUCUUUGCCUGUCCACAUUUAUGAGAAGUGUUUUCUUCCUUUCUAAAGAGACCUACCUACACAGCAGAUGAAUAGCUGAGGCAUUCUCCUUCCUGUUAUGUCACAUUACUUAGCGAAGAAUGUCCUAUUUCACCACUGAUCUCAAACUAAACUUGAAUUGCUUUUCAAAUUAUUCAUAACAGUGAGUUAAUAACUGUGAAUCAAUGUCUGGUGUUGGCUAUUAAAAGAGAGACAGUGAAGCAGUGAAUAGUGAAUAGAGAAUGACAUGUAAAACCCACUUGUCUGUUAAGAUCGGAAAGCUUGCAUGGCCUGUGUUGGGGACCCGUGGAGGUCACCUCAGUCUCUCAGCCUCCUGCUGCAGGCCCCACACCCCCCAUGUCUUUCAGUCCCUCCCAGGGCCACCCCCUCCUCCUUGCCCUGCCCGAAUUCUGGCUCUCAGCCUCCGUCUCCUUCCUGGUCAGUGCUGACCAUCUUCCAGCCCUGACUCCCUGCUUAUUCAUUCCUUGCCUACUCUCCACACCAUAGCCAGAGUGUCUUCCACAAUGCAAAUCCAACCCUGUCCCCACCCUGCUUAGUCUUUAGUGACUGUCCUCAGCCUACAGAAGGGGCACACAUCAGUCUGCCAGAGCGAGUCCCACCUCCCUACCAUGGCUGCUUCCAUCCUACACUCUAUCUCCCUCUGAGCCCCUGGCAUUCUCCUC
ensembl:lncRNA